AUUGAACGCUGGCGGCAGGCCUAACACAUGCAAGUCGAGCGAGCGGCGGACGGGUGAGUAAUGUAUGGGGAUUUGCCCGAUAGAGGGGUAUAACUACUGGAAAUGGUGGCUAAUAACGCAUACUCUCGGAUGAGCCUAUAUGGGAUUGGCUAGUAGGUGGGGUAAGGGUUUACCUAGGCGACGAUCUCUAGCUGGGCUGAGAGGAUGAUCAGCCACACUGGGACUGAGACACGGCCCAGACUCCCACGGGAGGCAGCAGUGGGGAAUAUUGCACAAUGGGCGAAAGCCUGAUGCAGCCAUGCCGCGUGUAUGAAGAAGGCCUUAGGGUUGUAAAGUACUUUCAGCGGGGAGGCGGUAGCCGCAGAAGAAGCACCGGCUAACUCCGUGCCAGCAGCCGCGGUAAUUC
rnacentral:rRNA from 1 species